UUUAUUACUGUGAUAAGGAAUAGUAAAAUUUAAUUCUUUUUAAAGAGAGGGAACGUAUGGUGAGAUGUUUCUAAAAGAAUACUUUUGAACCAGCCUUUGAGUUCUGUACUGAAAUUAUAGUAGGAUACAGCGGUUUUUACCGUUAAAAAUUUGAGAGAAUAUAUUAUUUUUAUAUAUUAAUAAGGGUGGUACCACCGUGACUCGGUCCCUAUU
rnacentral:ncRNA from 1 species